GUCAGCAGCCAUAUCACCCUGCAGCACAAGAUUGGUUGCCCACUGAAGCUAAGCAGGGUUGAGCCUGGUCAGUGGCUUCAUCACUCUGUCUCCUCUCCACCAAUAAGCUGGUGUGUGGUGGGCGUUCUGGCA
rnacentral:rRNA from 1 species